CACCGCCCGUCGCUACUGCCGAUUGAAUGGCUCAGUGAGGCAUCCGGACUGGCCCAUAGAGGAGGGCAACUGCCACUCAGGGUCAGAAAGCUCUCCAAACUCGGUCAUUUAGAGGUAGCAAAAGUCGUAACAAGGUCUUCGUUGGUGAAGCAGCGGAGG
rnacentral:ncRNA from 1 species